UCCCUGGUGGCUUAGUUGGUAAAGAAUCUGCCUGCAACACAGGAGACCCAGGUUCAAUCCCUGGGUGGGGAA
rfam:Ovis aries breed Texel chromosome 6, whole genome shotgun sequence.